GCCGAGUGGUUAAGCGGCCAACACUUUGAUUCUUAGGCAACUAAUUCUCAAAAAGUUGCGGGUUCGAUUCCCGCUGGGUGCG